GCAGAGACCCAGGCAGAGGGAGAAACAGGCUCCGUGCAGGGAGCCCGAUGCAGGACUCGACCCCAGAUCUCCAGGAUCACGCCCUGGGCUGAAGCUCGGCGCCCAACCGCUGAGCCACCAAGGGAUCCCCCCAUCCUCUGCCCUUUAUUACCCCAGAUCUCGCUCUCCUGAGUUCUGCUCUCAGUUCCUUCCAAUCGCCUGCUUCCAGGGAUUUCUCAGGGCCCUCCUCCGGCUGAGGAAGGAGUUUGGUUAUAAGCUUCCCACCCAGGAGCCCUGUACUGUGAUAUCCCCGGGAACAGGCCAGUCCGGGGGUUGGAGGGCGGCACCCGUCCAGGCCCUCCGGGGUCCUCUCCUGUCUCACGCACCGAGGGAUGUCACACCCGCCCCCGGGGCGAGACCAGACUGACCCCUCCACCCCGACUCGCUUCCAGGCGUACACGGGGGCAGAGGGAGGCCCGCACACAGCAGCCACGUGCGCCCCCGCCGCCGCACACUUCCGCGGGCACGCGCCGGCCUGGGGGCAGGUGACACCGCCGCGGGGAGGCGGGCUUGGCGCUCCGGGCGCCUCUCCGGGCGCCGAGACCUUCAGGUCCCGCAGAGCCCGCCGCGCCCCCGCCCCCGGCCUCGCCCCCGCCCCGCGCGGGGCCCUGCACCUCUGCCCGCGGAGCCCCCAGCGCCCCUCUUCCAGAAGCCUGCGCCCGCCCCCUGGCCAGAGGCCCGGCCACAUCUGGGAUGCAUUGCCCCCUAAUCGCCAACCCCAUUAUUGUGAUCAAGCGAACGUCGCUAAUCUCUACACUUAUUGUUUAGUUUAGGGUGUCGGCGCAACCACCGAACUAAAUCACAGCUGGAGCUGGAAGGAAGGCCGACAGUAUUGGAUGGCGCCUGGCUGUUUUUAAUUUUUGGAUUUGAACAGUUCUCCUAUAAGGUAUCUCUCUGCUUUCUCUUUCCCUUAAAAGUUAAAUAGCAUUUAGAACACGAGGAAAAUUAAACACAAAUGUCAGUGCAAUCCUGAAAUCCUUUUUCUCUCUGUUCCUUCUUCCUGAGUCUCCCCUCUGCGGGCCCCCAGCUUCCACCCAAGCCCGUGACUCUCCUCAUCAGACAUUCAGAUCUUUCACCACCCUGUUGCCAGUUAGUCCAGAGGACAUAACUAUGACUUCAGACUCUUAAUUGGGAAUAUCGACUUAACUUUUUCUGGGCUGUGGUUGUUUUUAAGCUAGGACAAGGAGAAGAGAGGCAAGGGGGCUGAAGGCCAGGACUGCUCAGCCCUUUGGGACUUUUAGGAGCUCCAUGUGAGUCAAGGUCCACCACUGGAGGCUGUGAUCCUGGGCAGACCAGGAAACUUCUCAGUUUCCUCCUCUCCUAACAAACUAAUAAUUUAGACUUGGAAGGAUUGUUACAAGAGUUAAAUAAAACUAUGUAGGACGAUCCUGGCAAUAUGCUCAAAAUGUAAUAGUUGAACUUUAAAAAAGUUCUUGCCUCCUAUUUUCCACUGAAAUAGCAUUCCCACCUAAAACUCACUGUGGAACUAAAGCCAAAACCAAUAGCUUACCUUAAGAUAGAACUUUUGUUUGUGUGUGGAAAGCCCAGGGCCUAGUACAAAAUCAGGUUGGGUGAAGAUGAACAUAGAAACAGUUCAGAGUUUCUGUUUCGGAAGGAGUGAGGUUUUAGCUGCUCCAAUCUGCAGCACAUUUCAUGGGCCAGCUUUCAGGUCUGCACAUGGAAGAGAGGAGGCCCUGUCUCUACUAGAGAUGGCUAACAUUUAUCCAGCACUUAUUAUAUGCCAGGCACUCUGCCAAGUGCUUUACACACAGCAUUUCAUUUAAUCCACGUAAUAAAUCUUAUCAGGUGAGUAUUAUUGCUAUCUCUCUUUUUAAAGUUUUAUUAUGGAAAAGCUCAACUAUAUAUUUAAAAGUAGAGGAAAUAUGCUAAUGAGCCCCUCUGUAUUCUUCAGCCAGCAUCAACAAUUGUCAGCUCCUUGCCAACCUUGUUUAAUCUCUACCCCAUCCAUAUCCUCCUCCCAUAUUUUAAUGCAAAUCUCAGACGUCAUAUUAUUUAUUUGUAAAUACCCUAGUACGUCUUAAAAUAUCAAAAGACUCUUUUAAAAAACCAGAACCGUACUACUACGUUUUAAUCGUACCUGAACACAUUUGAAAUAAUUCCUUAAUAUUAUCAAACAUCAGUGUUCAAAGUCUCCCCAGUUGUCUCAUAAAUGAGUUUUUACAAUUGCUCUUUUUCCUUUCAAAUCAGAUCUAAGCAAUAUCCACACAUUUAGUCUCUCAAAUCUCUUUUAAUCUAUAGGCCCUUCUCCCUCUAUUUCUUUCCUUGCAAUUUAUUUAUUGAAGUAACCACAUUUGUCCUGAUAUCCUUUUUAUAAAUGAAAAAACGGAUCAGCAAAAGGUAGAAAAGGAGUUCAGUCCUAGCUAUGUCUGACUCCAGAGUCCAAGCCCUAAUGGCUUUAUUAUAUUCCCUUUAAAUCAAGUGAUGAAAAGCAAGACAC
rnacentral:lncRNA from 1 species